UACGGGGGGGGCAAGCGUUGUUCGGAAUUACUGGGCGUAAAGGGCUCGUAGGCGGCCAACUAAGUCGGAUGUGAAAUCCCCAGGCUCAACCUGGGAACUGCAUCCGAUACUGGAUGGCUUGAAUUCGGGAGAGGGAUGCAGAAUUCCAGGUGUAGCGGUGAAAUGCGUAGAGAUCGGGUGGAACACCAGUGGCGAAGGCGGCAUCCUGGCCCUGACCUGACGCUGAGGCGCGAGAGCGUGGGGAGCAAACGGG
rnacentral:rRNA from 1 species